rnacentral:tRNA from 1 species
AGUGAAAUUUACGGAUAUACACACUGGAUUCAAAAUCCAGUUCUUUCGGGAGUGCGGGUUCGAUUCCCGCC